CUGACAAGACUGGCGAUUGAUCCUAAAGAUUAUUUGACAGAUGAUUGCAUCAUCGCAAUAUUAAAGGUUCAAUAUACAGUCAGCGUCUCAUAAGAAUAAAUCCCAAGAUCCAAGACUUGCUUAAAAGCUUAAUUAAGAGACCAUUCUGUGCCACAAAGAAAUUGUUCAGGAAAGGGAGAAAUGGUGGAUUUGCAUUUUGGGUACAGUUCAAACAGAGUUCAAAAAGGUCAAACUCAUGGAAGAUCAGAGGGA